rnacentral:misc_RNA from 1 species
AAGUCGUAACAAGGUUUCCGUAGGUGAACCUGCGGAAGGAUCAUUAUUUGAUCUGGAAGAGGAGGCAUUUGCAAAAAUGCUGCCUUUUUUGCUUUGUGAACUGAAUUUGUACUAUUGUAUUUUUUUUUCUUUUUGAUGCUUUCUUCGGAAAGCUGAAAUAAAGACAACUUUCAGCAAUGGAUCUCUUGGCUCUU